GGCGAUAUGGCUCAAAUGGUAGAGCUCCUGCCUUGGGUGAAAAAGUCAAGUGCAAGUGUAAGGUCCUGGGUUCAAACCCCAAUAUUGGCA
rnacentral:tRNA from 1 species